GACGAACCGUGCGACCGUUGUUCGGAAUCACUGGGCUUAAAGGGCGCGUAGGCGGGCCAUAAAGUCAAGGGUGAAAUCCCCCAGCUUAACUGGGGAACUGCCUUUGAUACUGAUGGUCUCGAGUAAGGUAGGGGCAUGCGGAACUGAUGGUGGAGCGGUGAAAUGUGUUGAUAUCAUCAGGAACUCCGGUGGCGAAGGCGGCAUGCUGGACCUUCACUGACGCUGAGGCGCGAAAGCUAGGGGAGCGAACGGG
rnacentral:rRNA from 1 species